ensembl:snoRNA SNORA70 Small nucleolar RNA SNORA70
UUGCAGCCAAUUAAGCCAACUAUGCUCCAUUCCCCAUGGGGGCUUGGUGUGCAGUGAUUGCAAAUGUCAGGUAGUAUAUGCAGCCUGUUGCCUGUGUGGGUUGCCCUAAGGGACCUUGGAAACAGCC